CUGACGAGUGGCGAACGGGUGAGUAACACGUGGGUGAUCUGCCCUGCACUUCGGGAUAAGCUUGGGAAACUGGGUCUAAUACCGGAUAGGAACCAUCUUUAGUGUGGUGGUUGGAAAGUUUUUUCGGUGUAGGAUGAGCUCGCGGCCUAUCAGCUUGUUGGUGGGGUAAUGGCCUACCAAGGCGGCGACGGGUAGCCGGCCUGAGAGGGUGUACGGCCACAUUGGGACUGAGAUACGGCCCAG
rnacentral:rRNA from 1 species